rnacentral:tRNA from 1 species
GGACGCUUAGCUCAGCGGUAGAGCGUCGCGUUUACAUCGCGUAGGUCGGGGGUUCAAAUCCCUCAGCGUCCA